rnacentral:lncRNA from 1 species
ACCACCCUUAAUGUAAAGUUAGGCAUCCGUAGUAACUUGAACUUACUUUCGAGCACGGAAAAACAAAUGAAUGAUACUCGUAGUAUUUCAUUCAAACUCCACAUGUAGGUGUCAUACGGCCGAUACAUGAUCUGAGAGAUCACGAACAAUAUGUAGGGAGAAAAGCGACAAUGUAAAUUCCAUGCUCAGAGCAAUGAUCCGGCAGGAUAGGAAGUUCCGAAGGUGCUAAAUUGUUUCCUGAUGC